rnacentral:rRNA from 1 species
GACGAACGCUGGCGGCGUGCCUAAUACAUGCAAGUCGAGCGGACCGAAGGGAGCUUGCUCCUUUAGGUUAGCGGCGGACGGGUGAGUAACACGUGGGCAACCUGCCCUGCAGACUGGGAUAACUUCGGGAAACCGGAGCUAAUACCGGAUAACACCGAAAACCGCAUGGUUUUCGGUUGAAAGGCGGCUUUUAGCUGUCACUGCAGGAUGGGCCCGCGGCGCAUUAGCUAGGUGGUGAGGUAACGGCUCACCAAGGGGACGAUGCGUAAGCGACCUGGGAGGGUGACCGGCCACACUGGGACUGAGACACGGCCCAGACUCCUACGGGAGGCAGCAGUAGGGAAUCUUCCGCAAUGGACGAAAGUCUGACGGAGCAACGCCGCGUGAGCGAAGAAGGUCUUCGGAUCGUAAAGCUCUGUUGUCAGGGAAGAACAAGUACCGUUCGAAUAGGGCGGUACCUUGACGGUACCUGACGAGGAAGCCACGGCUAACUACGUGCCAGCCGCCGCAGUAA